rnacentral:rRNA from 1 species
UACGAAGGGGGCUAGCGUUGCUCGGAAUCACUGGGCGUAAAGAGCGUGUAGGCGGCCAGGUAGGUCGGUUGUGAAAACUGGAGGCUCAACCUUCAGAGGUCGACCGAAACCAUCUGGCUAGAGUCCGGGAGAGGAGAGUGGAAUUCCUGGUGUAGCGGUGAAAUGCGCAGAUAUCAGGAAGAACACCCGUGGCGAAAGCGGCUCUCUGGAACGGUACUGACGCUGAGACGCGAAAGCGUGGGGAGCGAACAGG